rnacentral:rRNA from 1 species
AUUGAACGCUGGCGGCAGGCCUAAAACAUGCAAGUCGAGCGGAGCGGCGGACGGGUGAGUAAUGCCUAGGAAUCUGCAUGGUAGUGGGGGAUAACGUCGGGAAACGGGCGCGAAUACCGCAUACUAUCGGAUGAGCCUAGGUCGGAUUAGCUAGUUGGUGGGGUAAAGGCGUACCAUGGACACGAUCCGUAACUGGUCAGAGAUGAUGAUCAGUCACACUGGAACUGAGACACUGUCCAGACUCCUACGGGAGGCAGCAGUGGGGAAUAUUGGACAAUGGGCGAAAGCCUGAUCCAGCCAUGCCGCGUGUGUGAAGAAGUUCUUCGGAUUGUAAAGCACUUUAAGUUGUGAGGCGUUACCAACAGAAUAAGCACCGGCUAACUUCGUGCCAGCCGCCGCGGUAAUUC